rnacentral:tRNA from 1 species
GAGGGUAUAGCUCAGUGGCAGAGCGCAUGCUUAGCAUGCACCAGGUCCUGGGUUCAAGUCUCAGUACGUCUA